rnacentral:rRNA from 1 species
UGUGAACUCGAAGAGUAGGGCGGGACACGUGGUAUCCUGUCUGAAUAUGGGGGGACCAUCCUCCAAGGCUAAAUACUCCUGACUGACCGAUAGUGAACCAGUACCGUGAGGGAAAGGCGAAAAGAACCCCGGCGAGGGGAGUGAAAAAGAACCUGAAACCGUGUACGUACAAGCAGUGGGAGCACCUUCGUGGUGUGACUGCGUACCUUUUGUAUAAUGGGUCAGCGACUUAUAUUCUGUAGCAAGGUUAACCGUAUAGGGGAGCCGAAGGGAAACCGAGUCUUAACUGGGCGUUAAGUUGCAGGGUAUAGACCCGAAACCCGGUGAUCUAGCCAUGGGCAGGUUGAAGGUUGGGUAACACUAACUGGAGGACCGAACCGACUAAUGUUGAAAAAUUAGCGGAUGACCUGUGGCUGGGGGUGAAAGGCCAAUCAAACCGGGAGAUAGCUGGUUCUCCCCGAAAGCUAUUUAGGUAGCGCCUCGUGAACUCAUCUUCGGGGGUAGAGCACUGUUUCGGCUAGGGGGCCAUCCCGGCUUACCAACCCGAUGCAAACUACGAAUACCGAAGAAUGUUAUCACGGGAGACACACGGCGGGUGCUAACGUCCGUCGUGAAGAGGGAAACAACCCAGACCGCCAGCUAAGGUCCCAAAGUCAUGGUUAAGUGGGAAACGAUGUGGGAAGGCACAGACAGCCAGGAUGUUGGCUUAGAAGCAGCCAUCAUUUAAAGAAAGCGUAAUAGCUCACUGGUCGAGUCGGCCUGCGCGGAAGAUGUAACGGGGCUAAACCAUGCACCGAAGCUGCGGCAGCGACACUAUGUGUUGUUGGGUAGGGGAGCGUUCUGUAAGCCGUUGAAGGUGUGCUGUGAGGCAUGCUGGAGGUAUCAGAAGUGCGAAUGCUGACAUAAGUAACGAUAAAGCGGGUGAAAAGCCCGCUCGCCGGAAGACCAAGGGUUCCUGUCCAACGUUAAUCGGGGCAGGGUGAGUCGACCCCUAAGGCGAGGCCGAAAGGCGUAGUCGAUGGGAAACAGGUUAAUAUUCCUGUACUUGGUGUUACUGCGAAGGGGGGACGGAGAAGGCUAUGUCAGCCGGGCGACGGUUGUCCCGGUUUAAGCAUGUAGGCGGAGGUUCCAGGUAAAUCCGGUACCUUGUUNNNNNNNNNNNNNNNNNNNNNNNNNNNNNNNNNNNNNNNNNNNNNNNNNNNNNNNNNNNNNNNNNNNNNNNNNNNNNNNNNNNNNNNNNNNNNNNGGCGGAGCUGAAAUCAGUCGAAGAUACCAGCUGGCUGCAACUGUUUAUUAAAAACACAGCACUGUGCAAACACGAAAGUGGACGUAUACGGUGUGACGCCUGCCCGGUGCCGGAAGGUUAAUUGAUGGGGUUAGCGGCAACGCGAAGCUCUUGAUCGAAGCCCCGGUAAACGGCGGCCGUAACUAUAACGGUCCUAAGGUAGCGAAAUUCCUUGUCGGGUAAGUUCCGACCUGCACGAAUGGCGUAAUGAUGGCCAGGCUGUCUCCACCCGAGACUCAGUGAAAUUGAACUCGCUGUGAAGAUGCAGUGUACCCGCGGCAAGACGGAAAGACCCCGUGAACCUUUACUAUAGCUUGACACUGAACACUGGUCCUUGAUGUGUAGGAUAGGUGGGAGGCUUUGAAGCGUGGACGCCAGUCUGCGUGGAGCCAUCCUUGAAAUACCACCCUUUAAUGGCUGGUGUUCUAACGUAGACCCGUUAUCCGGGUUGCGGACAGUGUCUGGUGGGUAGUUUGACUGGGGCGGUCUCCUCCCAAAGAGUAACGGAGGAGCACGAAGGUUGGCUAAUCCUGGUCGGACAUCAGGAGGUUAGUGCAAUGGCAUAAGCCAGCUUGACUGCGAGCGUGACGGCGCGAGCAGGUGCGAAAGCAGGUCAUAGUGAUCCGGUGGUUCUGAAUGGAAGGGCCAUCGCUCAACGGAUAAAAGGUACUCCGGGGAUAACAGGCUGAUACCGCCCAAGAGUUCAUAUCGACGGCGGUGUUUGGCACCUCGAUGUCGGCUCAUCACAUCCUGGGGCUGAAGUAGGUCCCAAGGGUAUGGCUGUUCGCCAUUUAAAGUGGUACGCGAGCUGGGUUUAGAACGUCGUGAGACAGUUCGGUCCCUAUCUGCCGUGGGCGCUGGAGAAUUGAGGGGGGCUGCUCCUAGUACGAGAGGACCGGAGUGGACGCAUCACUGGUGUUCGGGUUGUCAUGCCAAUGGCACUGCCCGGUAGCUAAAUGCGGAAGAGAUAAGUGCUGAAAGCAUCUAAGCACGAAACUUGCCCCGAGAUGAGUUCUCCCUGAGACCUUGAGUCUCCUGAAGGAACGUUGAAGACGACGACGUUGAUAGGUCGGGUGUGUAAGCGCAGCGAUGCGUUGAGCUAACCGAUACUAAUGAACCGUGAGGCUUAACCUU